rnacentral:rRNA from 1 species
AUUGAACGCUGGCGGCAUGCCUUACACAUGCAAGUCGAACGGCAGCACGGGAGCAAUCCUGGUGGCGAGUGGCGAACGGGUGAGUAAUAUAUCGGAACGUGCCCAGUCGUGGGGAUAACGUAGCGAAAGCUACGCUAAUACCGCAUACGAUCUAUGGAUGAAAGCGGGGGAUCGCAAGACCUCGCGCGAUUGGAGCGGCCGAUAUCAGAUUAGGUAGUUGGUGAGGUAAAGGCUCGCCAAGCCGACGAUCUGUAGCUGGUCUGAGAGGACGACCAGCCACACUGGGACUGAGA